GAUUUAUGUCAAUUGGAGGGCAGAACUAAGUAAAUAAAUAUUAAAUGCUGCAGUAAAUACGUUCAAGUUUAAAACUGAAAUUAAAGAUCAGUAUUUUUUUAAUUGUAAUAUAUGAAUAUUUAGAUUUUGGUCUUUUUAUUUAUUUAAAUAAAUUCUUAUAAUGAAACUAACGUGUAAAGUUGAAGUUGUAAACAGGUUACAUACUAACUUGAAUAUACGAUCUAGUGGAAAAUAUAUUAAAUCUACUUUAGCUAUAGGUAAAGAGCCAAAAAAUGAUACGGAAUUCUUUAUUCUUCAUUUCUCAUCUGUUAAUAAAUCUGGAACUAAGUAUAAGGUGAAAUUUAUAAAGCAAGUUUUUGUUAAAUGUUUAAAUGAAGGCAAAGCCACAAUAAGAUUUGACGACCCUCCUCAUGACUUGUGUGUGAAAAGUGAAGUUGUACAGUUAAAGAGUUUUCUUAAUUUAUUGAAAUCAUGUCUUACGGGAGAUACUAAAAGCUUAAAAAUUUCAAACUUGUCAUCCAUUGGUGUUACUGUUAAAGAUAAUGCUCCCACAAAAUUAAUUGUAGCAAGUCGUGCUGAUAUUCCUACUAAAGGUUUUCCAAGAACACUUGAAGCUCUUCAUAUGGUUGGGAUUAAGUUGCAUAAUUUUCGCCGUGACAUUCUGCUAUUGAACCGUUUGACUGUGCUUGAUUUAAGUAAUAAUGAAAUUGAAAAAAUUCCAUAUGAAUUCGCAAGAAUGCCCACCUUAAGUGAACUGUACUUGGCUAACAAUGCACUCGGAGAACCAGCUAAUAUAGAUUGGAGAUGGUUGUUGGGGCCACAGAUUACAAAGACAUUGAGACUGCUAGAUCUAAGUGGUAAUAGAUUAAAAGAUCUUCCUAAAGAUGUAUGGAAAUUGGGUAAUUUAGUGACAUUUAAAUUGGACAAAAAUAUGCUUGAGAAGAUUCCAGCUUCUUUAGGACGAAUUAGAAAUCUAAGGUAAUAUAGACACCAAGUUAUUAUAUUACUUAAAUUCUUAAAUACUUAACUGUCUGCCACAUAAAAAUAGAAAAAAACAUAUAAAAUAUGUAACAAAAAUAUACAGUUAACAAAUAAAUCUUACAAAUUUUAUGGAAAACAACGUUUGAGAUGUAAAUUAAGAAAGUAGUAUAUUAAAGUAAUACAUCUAUUUCAUUCUUAAGUUACAUUGAAUAUGCUUACCACAACUAUGACAUGGAUUAAAAUAUAUGGAAUAAUAUAAGAUUAGACCACUCAUGAUGAUUGUUUAUUUUCUACUGUUAUAUGUAUUUUUCUAAAUUAAAGACUAGGACACUCCAUUUUUUAUUACAUCCACUUUUCCAAGGAUUUAGGUCUUUAAUUUAAAAAUAUUUGUAUAAUAAAGAUAAUUAAUUAGUAUUAACUUUAUAGUGGUAGAUAUUCACUUGCAAAUAUAAUAUUGCACUAAUUCUUUUUUAUUGUUCUACACAUACAUAAAUAUUUUCUUUAUUCCAUAUUUUAGUUAAUAAUAGUUUCAUCUUGGUCGUUAAUAACUAAGUGUGUGUGUUUAUAAAUAUCAAAGGCCAAGAAAAAUCUUAUAGACUCACUGUUCCAUGCAUGGGCCUAGCCAAAUAUUAAAGCCCUCUAUAAUAAAAUCCAAAGUGGCUUUAUCAUAACAUAUCUCAAGUAUUUAGUCUGUUCCACUGAUUGAUAAAGGGCUCCCACAGAUUCCUCACCCUGAGUCAGAACAAUUUAAAAUCUCUGCCUUGCAGCCUCAUGCAAUGUCGAUUCGAACAAUUGGAUUUGAGUUUGAAUAAAUUUGAAAACAAGGAUAUGAAAUUUGAACAAGAAAAUCUAUC